AGGCUGCUUCCACAGAUCCAGAGGCAAUAGACAUUCUGAUCAAUGGAGAAUAGACCCAGAGCAGCCAACUCAGACUCUGAGAGAUGAAAACCAUCACAAAACUAGAAAUUGUGGGAGUUUGGGGUCUCCUGUCUCUAAUUCCAGCUCUCUUCUGCUAUGGCAUUUAAGCACUCGGUGACAAUGUGAGGAAGUGCCACUGGCUUCUCUUAAGGAUAAAGGCCUAGACGAAAGCCCCUGUGGGGGAGACACAUGCUGCUGAUGCUUUUCAGUGCCUUAAGAACAAGACCCAGGCCCAGGAAAAACUUUCCUGGCUUAGAAACUUUUCAAAAAGCAACAAAACCACCAUGAAGAGAGUGGCUGUUUGCUCUUCUCCUUUCCCCUCCACUGAUAGGGCGCUGGAUUUUCCAAAGAUAUUGGGUCAGAAUGAGAACAAGCUGGAGUCUCUCCAGCUCUUAGAAAGACCUGGAAUUUUCCAAGCAUCAGAUUUCAGUUCCCUAAAAGUUGAAGCAGCAUGUUUCCUACAAGACCACCAAGACUGUGGCCAAAGAUGACUCUGUGCAUAAACGAGAUGGCUAUCCACAGUCCUGAAAAGUCCUCCCCACAUUACCAGAUCUCUGCCCAACAUGGUACCUGGAAUUUACCAUUAAAGUCUCUUAUUGGUUUUUUGGGGUCAAAGAA